AGAAUGCCCGCAAUAUUUCUGGCGCCGUAUGUCCUAGCUCCGCUAGGGUUGUUAGCCAGCUGUUGCGGUCAUGUUG
rnacentral:pre_miRNA from 1 species